rnacentral:rRNA from 1 species
UACGUAGGGUGCGAGCGUUGUCCGGAAUUAUUGGGCGUAAAGAGCUCGUAGGCGGUUUGUCGCGUCUGCUGUGAAAACUGGGGGCUCAACCCCCAGCCUGCAGUGGGUACGGGCAGACUAGAGUGCGGUAGGGGAGAUUGGAAUUCCUGGUGUAGCGGUGGAAUGCGCAGAUAUCAGGAGGAACACCAAUGGCGAAGGCAGAUCUCUGGGCCGUAACUGACGCUGAGGAGCGAAAGCAUGGGGAGCGAACAGG